AGGAAUUCAAACAAUACAGGCAGUAGAGCUUGCAGAGAGACUGCAUCAUUUUCUCAUACAACUAGAACUGGUGGAAGCAUAGAACUAAAAAAGGAGAAAUCAUUUGAAUCGAAGAAAUUGCAUCAAAGCUAUCAUUUUAAAGCUAGGUCAUUGCCAGAAUUCUAUCGAAAUGCUGAACCAAAUAAGAAGGAAAGGACGGAGAAAACAGCUGAAAGUGAACAAAAUAAAUUGCAGCACACCCAUUGUUUCAAAGCCAGACCAUUGCCAGAAUUCUAUCAUAAUAUUAAUCCCACAAAGUCUGGGGUGAAGAUUUCAUUGGAAAAACCUCAUUCCUGAGCUUGCAAGGAUCACUAAGUCAGAAGCCAGCUCAUAUCAGAACUCUCUUUUGAACUAUAAAACUUUUUAAUAUCAAUGGUCCUACAAAUGAUAAACCUUACCGUAAAA